ACGGGGCGCAGCAGGCGCGAAAACUUUGCAAUGCGGGAAACCGUGACAAGGGAACUCCGAGUGCCCGUAAAUUCGGGCUGUCCAUCAGUGUAAAUAACUGGUGAAGAAAGGGCCGGGCAAGACCGGUGCCAGCCGCCGCGGUAAUACCGGCGGCUCGAGUGGUGGCCACUAUUACUGGGCUUAAAGCGUCCGUAGCUGGGUUGUUAAGUCUCCUGAGAAAUCUGCCGGCUUAACCGUCAGGCGUUCAGGAGAUACUGGCAAUCUCGGGACUGGGGGAGGUGAGAGGUACUCCGGGGGUAGGAGUGAAAUCCUGUAAUCCUCGGGGGACCACCUGUGGCGAAGGCGUCUCACCAGAACAGCUCCGACAGUGAGGGACGAAAGCUGGGGGAGCAAACCGGAUUAGAUACCCGGGUAGUCCCAGCUGUAAACGAUGCGCGUUAGGUGUGUCGGUAACCACGAGUUACCGAGGUGCCGUAGGGAAACUGCUAAACGCGCCGCCUGGGAAGUACGGUCGCAAGGCUGAAACUUAAAGGAAUUGGCGGGGGAGCAC
rnacentral:rRNA from 1 species